AGUAAUCCCAGCCAGCAGGGAUGAAGUAAUGUAUCAGUUGACUGGUCAAUGUUUCUGUAAAAUGGGGACAGCAAAUGUAACAUUUCACCAGUGGGUCAAUGUUACUGUAGACUGGUGUGUUGCUGCUAUUUUGUUGGAGAUACAAGCAAAGAAUUUGUUGUGAGUAGAAUGAAAGGAGAGAUAGUGUUAUUGUACAGACUGUUUUUGUACCCCUGAACUACAAGAAAGAUAAAUCCUUGUUUUUAAGGAUAAAUCCUUCUGGUGUCUGUGUUUGCUGUUCAAGUCAAGCAAACUCCACAAAUUUACUAAGAACCAGAUUUAUGUGUACAAUGACUACACACUAAGGAAAAAAUACCUAACAAUUAGUUUCCAUGGAGUCUACUUCACAGAUCCAUCUUUGCAAGUAAUAUACCCUGACCUUCAGGACUCAGACAGUGAAGGGGAAGAGCAAGUGACGUGUCAGCUGCUGAGUCUUGAGUGGUGUAGCUCCCAGCAGCCACUUAACUUGUAACUGGAAAUUCCAGUGAUUGAACCUGAGAGUAGCAGUGCCCUGCAGCCUCUUGGUUAUAUGCUUGUAACCUAGUGAGUAUUACCUUGGAAUUACCUGCACAUCUGAAGGCUCCAUCACAACUACUAACAACAAUAACUGAACUUUAAUGUUCCUUGAGAUGCAGUAUUUUUAAGCAAGUAUUUUCACAACUUUGGACUUGUCUACACUGGCCAGAAACUCCAUAUUGGGCUACUCAUGGAUAUCCCCAAGACUUUCAAAGACUUCUAGUCCACAAUACAGUGUUUCACAAUGUCAAUGCUGCUGGAUACUCCAGGAGGACCAAGGAGCAAUUGUACCCCGAAUUUUAUCAAAGCUAAACCCUUUAAGAGAUAUAUAAAAAUGAUAUUUCUUGUGUAA